GCGACCCCAGGUCAGGCGGGAACAC
rnacentral:rRNA from 1 species